rnacentral:rRNA from 1 species
UGAGUAACACGUAUCCAACCUGCCGUCUACUCUUGGCCAGCCUUCUGAAAGGAAGAUUAAUCCAGGAUGGCAUCAUGAGUUCACAUGUCCGCAUGAUUAAAGGUAUUUUCCGGUAGACGAUGGGGAUGCGUUCCAUUAGAUAGUAGGCGGGGUAACGGCCCACCUAGUCAACGAUGGAUAGGGGUUCUGAGAGGAAGGUCCCCCACAUCGGAACUGAGACACGGUCCAA